GGGGGAGGAGAGAGAGAGAGAGAGAGAGAGAGAGAGAGAGAGAGAGAGAGAGAGAGAGAGAGAGAGAGAGAGAGAGAGAGAGAGAGAGAGAGAGAGAGAGAGAGAGAGAGAGAGAGAGAGAGAGAGAGAGAGAGAGAGAGACACACACCUAGUGAGAGAGUGAGCAUCCUGAUUGGCCUCUCCUCAUUCUAGGUUGGCCAAUGAGUUUUUAGUGUGGGUGGGACUUGCAACGCACAAGAGAAAGAGAGAGAGGUGGAGAUGCGUGUAAAGAGAGAGAGGUGGAGAUGCGUGUAAAGAGAGAGAGGUGGAGAUGCGUGUAAAGAGAGAGAGGCGGAGAUGCGUGUAAAGAGAGAGAGGUGGAGAUGCGUGUAAAGAGAGAGAGGUGGAGAUGCGUGUAAAGAGAGAGAGGCGGAGAUGCGUGUAAAGAGAGAGAGGGGGAGAUGCGUGUAAAGAGAGAGAGGUGGAGAUGCGUGUAAAGAGAGAGAGGCGGAGAUGCGUGUAAAGAGAGAGAGGCGGAGAUGCGUGUAAAGAGAGAGAGGCGGAGAUGCGUGUAAAGAGAGAGAGGCGGAGAUGCGUGUAAAGAGAGAGAGGGGGAGAUGCGUGUAAAGAGAGAGAGGGGGAGAUGCGUGUAAAGAGAGAGAGGUGGAGAUGCGUGUAAAGAGAGAGAGGCGGAGAUGCGUGUAAAGAGAGAGAGGGGGAGAUGCGUGUAAAGAGAGAGAGGUGGAGAUGCGUGUAAAGAGAGAGAGGCGGAGAUGCGUGUAAAGAGAGAGAGGCGGAGAUGCGUGUAAAGAGAGAGAGGUGGAGAUGCGUGUAAAGAGAGAGAGGCGGAGAUGCGUGUAAAGAGAGAGAGGUCGAGAUGCGUGUAAAGAGAGAGAGGCGGAGAUGCGUGUAAAGAGAGAGAGGUGGAGAUGCGUGUAAAGAGAGAGAGGUGGAGAUGCGUGUAAAGAGAGAGAGGCGGAGAUGCGUGUAAAGAGAGAGAGGCGGAGAUGCGUGUAAAGAGAGAGAGGCGGAGAUGCGUGUAAAGAGAGAGAGGGGGAGAUGCGUGUAAAGAGAGAGAGGGGGAGAUGCGUGUAAAGAGGGAGAGGGGGAGAUGCGUGUAAAGAGAGAGAGGUGGAGAUGCGUGUAAAGAGAGAGAGGUGGAGAUGCGUGUAAAGAGAGAGAGGCGGAGAUGCGUGUAAAGAGAGAGAGGCGGAGAUGCGUGUAAAGAGAGAGAGGUUUUCGAUUAUGACACGGCCCGUGUUCUUUUCUACAAAGAACGGAUUUUCUGCCAUUUGAUCCAUAAGAUUAAUAAUCUGUUCAUAGCUUUAGAAAAUAACAUUUUUAUACAACUAUGCUAACGAUGACAUAAAAAGACAGCGACCCAAAAUACCGUGCUGUAAUGUUUGGAGAAGUUGCUCCUCUUAAUUUAAAAGUACAGAGCUCAUUGAAUUAGAACAGGGUCAAAGUAACCUCUUAUUAUGCAAAUAUAAUACUACUACUAUAAGUUAUAAUACAUUGUAGAUAGUAAGAUAGUAGUAAAUAGAUGUAAGAUAGACUAUGAGAAUUAUAAUGUAUAGAUAUAACUGUAAUUUAUAUUACACAUUUAUUAUUCUUAUUACUGAGUUUCUAAAUCCUUGUUAUAUAGAUAAACUAUGAAUAUUCUUCAGUAAAUUCGUGGACUGAUAUUGGCAGUAAUCAGUAAUUCAGUUUUUAUCUGCUGUUUAUUCAAUAAAAGCCCCAUUAUGGGACGGAAUGGAGCUUUUCUCACUGUGGAGUAAAUAGUUCUGUGCAGCUCCUAUUAACAGUACGGUUGUUUGCACGGCACGCAGAAAAUUCGCGUCAUGCUGGCGCCUGCGCAAUCUCUCACUUUCCCGGUUAACGCCCCACGAGAAGCCGAUCAGGAAGUGACACGAUUGGCUUCACCUGGCUCCGUUGAAAUCAGCGGGAUGGCUUGGUCCAGUUAAUAUAUACUGUCAAUGGUUAUUGGUCCCAUAACCAGCCCUUUUACAAUAACCACACCUUUUUUGAAUAGAGCUGAAUAACGUUUUAAAAAACGAAUUCUGUGGGGAUAUAAAAAUUUGAAAAUAUAAGCAGAGGUUACACUAGCUGUUGCAUUCAAAUAAUGGAGGUAGAAUUGCAGUAUAUUAGAAAAAAACGUGAUUGAAAGUCUGUCUGUUUUGCCAUUGAAACCUAUGGAGAUGGGUGGGGUUACACGGCUUUCUGAAACCGAACAGCAGGGGGUGCCCAACCUGUGGUGACUACACUUUUGAGAGACGAUGCUCUGUCCAGCUAUACACAGUCUAUUGUACAGUUUAAACACUGAUUUCUAUAUUAACCGCGGAGAGUUAAAUUACUGCAGAGAGCUGCUUACCUGAGUUUAAACACGCUUCACUCCUUCAUUAACAUUAAUAAGACUAGAUAAACUAACGUUAGCUGGAUAAGUGUUGGGGAGAUACUGUACUCUGUCCAAUCCGUUUUAAGUUAUA